UACGGGGGGGGCAAGCGUUGUUCGGAAUUACUGGGCGUAAAGGGCGCGUAGGUGGCCAACUAAGUCAGACGUGAAAUCCCUCGGCUUAACCGGGGAACUGCGUCUGAUACUGGAUGGCUUGAGUUUGGGAGAGGGACGCGGAAUUCCGGGUGUAGCGGUGGAAUGCGUAGAGAUCCGGAAGAACACCGGUGGCGAAGGCGGCCUGCUGGGCAGUUGCUGACACUGAGGCGCGACAGCGUGGGGAGCAAACAGG
rnacentral:rRNA from 1 species